AUUGAACGCUGGCGGAAUGCUUUACGCAUGCAAGUCGAACGGCAGCACGGGUGCUUGCACCUGGUGGCGAGUGGCGAACGGGUGAGUAAUACAUCGGAACGUACCCAGUCGUGGGGGAUAACGUAGCGAAAGUUACGCUAAUACCGCAUACGUCCUGAGGGAGAAAGCGGGGGACCGUAAGGCCUCGCGCGAUUGGAGCGGCCGAUGUCUGAUUAGCUAGUUGGUGAGGUAAAGGCUCACCAAGGCGACGAUCAGUAGCUGGUCUGAGAGGAUGAUCAGCCACACUGGAACUGAGACGCGGUCCAGACUCCUACGGGAGGCAGCAGUGGGGAAUUUUGGACAAUGGGCGAAAGCCUGAUCCAGCCAUUCCGCGUGAGUGAAGAAGGCCUUCGGGUUGUAAAGCUCUUUCGGCAGGAACGAAACGCUCUAGAUUAAUACUCUGGGGUAAUGACGGUACCUGAAGAAGAAGCACCGGCUAACUACGUGCCAGCCGCCGCAGUAA
rnacentral:rRNA from 1 species